GUUAUAGCUCAGUUGGUAGAGCACUUGCCUCACAUGCAUAAGGCCCUGAGUUCAAUCCCCAGCAAAACA
rnacentral:tRNA from 1 species